rnacentral:rRNA from 1 species
GAUCAUGGCUCAGGAUGAACGCUAGCGGGAGGCCUAAUACAUGCAAGCCGAACGGUAACAGGUAGCAAUACGCUGACGAGUGGCGCACGGGUGCGUAACGCGUACACAAUCUGCCUUAUACUGGGGCAUAGCCUUUGGAAACGAAGAAUAAUUCCCCAUAAUAUAUAGAAGAGGCAUCUCUUUUAUAUUAAAGCUCAGGCGGUAUAAGAUGAGUGUGCGUCCGAUUAGGUAGUUGGUGAGGUAACGGCUCACCAAGCCAACGAUCGGUAGCUGGUCUGAGAGGAUGAUCAGCCACACGGGCACUGAGACACGGGCCCGACUCCUACGGGAGGCAGCAGUAGGGAAUAUUGGACAAUGGGCGCAAGCCUGAUCCAGCCAUCCCGCGUGAAGGAUGAAGGUCCUCUGGAUUGUAAACUUCUUUUCUUCGGGAAUAAAAACUGGGGGUUCUCCUCAGCUUGAAGGUACCGAAGGAAUAAGCACCGGCUAACUCCGUG